CUCUACUCCACAGCUUUCCUCUACCCACCACUGAUGGGAUCUAAUAUUUUCACUAUUCACAGGAUUCACCAGAUUUCUUCUGUACAUGGGGACAGCUCCUAUGGUGGAAAAUGGCAAUUUACAUGGGAUAAGACUUCUACCUGACCUUACCUGUGUGUCCUCUGCAAGCUUAUCCAGAAGGAAAUCCAGUGGAAUGAGCUGGCUCUUCAGGAAUAAAUCAAUAGAAAGAAGGUGUAACUUAUGAGAAAAGCAAGUAAUGGAUUGGGAGCUGUGGUAAGCAGGUUCCUGAACCUGAGGUAAGAAAUCUUCUUAGCUACCUUGGGUGUAAGUCUCCAAAAUAUAUAAGAGCUAAACUAACUGAUUUGAA
ensembl:lncRNA